CCUACGGGCGGCAGCAGUGGGGAAUAUUGCACAAUGGGCGCAAGCCUGAUGCAGCCAUGCCGCGUGUGUGAAGAAGGCCUUCGGGUUGUAAAGCACUUUCAGCGGGGAGGAAGGCGGUGAGGUUAAUAACCUCAUCGAUUGACGUUACCCGCAGAAGAAGCACCGGCUAACUCCGUGCCAGCAGCCGCGGUAAUACGGAGGGUGCAAGCGUUAAUCGGAAUUACUGGGCGUAAAGCGCACGCAGGCGGUCUGUCAAGUCGGAUGUGAAAUCCCCGGGCUCAACCUGGGAACUGCAUUCGAAACUGGCAGGCUAGAGUCUUGUAGAGGGGGGUAGAAUGCCAGGUGUAGCGGUGAAAUGCGUGGAGAUCUGGAGGAAUACCGGUGGCGAAGGCGGCCCCCUGGACAAAGACUGACGCUCAGGUGCGAAAGCGUGGGGAGCAAACAGGAUUAGAUACCCUAGUAGUC
rnacentral:rRNA from 1 species